AGAGGGGGCAAGCGUUAUUCGGAAUUAUUGGGCGUAAAGGGCGCGUAGGCGGCUUUUCAAGUGACGGGUGAAAGCCCUCGGCUUAACCGAGGAACUGCCUGUCAGACUGGAAGGCUUGAGACCGGGAGAGGUGAGUGGAAUUCCCAGUGUAGCGGUGAAAUGCGUAGAUAUUGGGAGGAACACCAGUGGCGAAGGCGGCUCACUGGACCGGAACUGACGCUGAGGCGCGAAAGCGUGGGGAGCAAACAGGAUUAGAUACCCUGGUAGUCCACGCCGUAAACGAUGAGUGCUUGGUGUAGCGGGUAUCGACCCCUGCUGUGCCGAAGUCAACACAUUAAGCACUCCGCCUGGGGAGUACGGUCGCAAGACUGAA
rnacentral:rRNA from 1 species